AUGAGUGGAGUUUAUGGAGGUUUUUUUUAUAAACGGUUUUUUUGGCUGAAUUUGAUUUAUCUACGAAAAGUUAGAUUUUGUUUUCAAAGACGAGAAGACCCCGAAAUCUUUAUUUUAAAAUAAUGGGUUUUAAUUUUUGUUUGGGGGAAAAGUUAAUUUGUAUUAUUUUCUUUUUUAGUGUGAACUUUGUUAGGUUAAAUGGAUAGAUACUUCGGGGUUAACAGGAUAAUUUUCUUUUGAAGUUCUUAUUUUAGAGGGAGAUUGUUACCUCGU
rnacentral:rRNA from 1 species